GACGAACGCUGGCGGCGUGCUUAACACAUGCAAGUCGAACGAAGUGGCGAACGGGUGAGUAACGCGUAAUCAACCUGCCCUUCAGAGGGGGAUAACAGUUGGAAACGACUGCUAAUACCGCAUACUGAAGGAGGGGAUUGUGUCUGAUUAGCUGGUGGGAGGGGUAACGGCCCACCAAGGCGAUGAUCAGUAGGCGGUUUGGGAGGAUGAACCGCCACAUGGGGAAUGAGACACGGGCCAGAAUCCUACGGGAGGAAGCAGUGGGGAAUGUUCCGAAAUGGACGAAAGUCUGACGGAGCAAAGCCGCGUGAGUGAUGGCGGCCUUCGGGUUGUAAAGCUAUGUUAAUCGGGACGCGGUACCGGAAUAGAAAGCCACGGCUAACUACGUGCCAGCAGCCGCGGUAAUAC
rnacentral:rRNA from 1 species